CGAGCGACUCGAAGGAAUCGGAAAAUAUAUAUCGAGGCAGGAUUCUGGAGGCGUUCCCUCUUCCUGUUUCUAACAAAGCGUUCGAAGCGCGACGAGGAACAAUCAGACACGAAGCUAGAGAGAGAGAGAGAGAGAGAGAUUGCCCCUCGUUCCUCGAACUCUCGAGCGCUGAAAUCCUCCGUAUUUAUCAUUUAACAUCCGGCUGAUUACCUAAUUAGCGAAAUAACUAAAUCGGACGGGAGAAACGGCCGAUGCACGCUUUCAACGCUGCCUCGAGCUCGAGGUGGCUUCGUUCACGGGGCGUGCGAGCCUGUAAAUGACUCAACCGUUA